rnacentral:rRNA from 1 species
UGAGGAAUAUUGGGCAAUGCCCGCAAGGGUGACCCAGCAACGCCGCGUGGAGGAUGAAUGUCGUAAGAUUGUAAACUCCUGUUAGAGGGGAAGAAUAGUACCGGUUGGACCGGUAUAUGACUGUACCCUCAGAGAAAGCCCCGGCUAACUACGUGCCAGCAGCCGCGGUAAUACGGAGGGGGCAAGCGUUGUCCGGAUUUACUGGGUGUAAAGGGCGCGCAGGCGGGAUAAAAAGUCAGUGGUGAAAUCCUACAGCUUAACUGUAGAACUGCCUUUGAUACUUUUAUUCUUGAGUUCGGGAGAGAGAGACGGAAUUCCAGGUGUAGUGGUGAAAUACGUAGAUAUCUGGAAGAACACCAGUUGCGAAGGCGGUCUCUUGGUCCGACACUGACGCUGAGGCGCGAAAGCGUGGGGAGCAAACA